GUGAACGCUGGCGGUAGGCCUAACACUUGCAAGUCGCACGGCAGCACAGUAAGAGCUUGCUCUUACGGGUGGCGAGUGGCGGACGGGUGAGGAAUACAUCGGAAUCUACUUUUUCGUGGGGGAUAACGUAGGGAAACUUACGCUAAUACCGCAUACGACCUACGGGUGAAAGCAGGGGAUCUUCGGACCUUGCGCGAUUGAAUGAGCCGAUGUCGGAUUAGCUAGUUGGCGGGGUAAAGGCCCACCAAGGCGACGAUCCGUAGCUGGUCUGAGAGGAUGAUCAGCCACACUGGAACUGAGACACGGUCCAGACUCCUACGGGAGGCAGCAGUGGGGAAUAUUGGACAAUGGGCGCAAGCCUGAUCCAGCCAUACCGCGUGGGUGAAGAAGGCCUUCGGGUUGUAAAGCCCUUUUGUUGGGAAAGAAAAGCAGCAGGUUAAUACCCCGCUGUUCUGACGGUACCCAAAGAAUAAGCACCGGCUAACUUCGUG
rnacentral:rRNA from 1 species